AAGUUCUAGAUAGCCAUGCAUGCCUUCGAAUAGAAGAGCUUUCUCUCUGAAUCUGCGAACGGCUCCGCAAACCAGUUGUAAACUAUAGCAAGUCCGUACGGUUAGGGAGCAAUCCCCGGCUGUACUCACAGGGAUAACCCUGGUAAUCCUGAGGCUAAUACAAGAACGUAAAACUCGGUCGACUGGGCAACCGGAAGGUCGAGGGUCGUGUGAUGCUUUACCGCAAUGCUCGACAUGAAAGGGUGCACGAUCAAACCACCAUACCAAACGAUCGGUUGGGAAGCCUUAACGGGUGGAACGGCUAGCUCGGGUGGGUCUUGCUAUGUGCUUCUGACCUAUCAACUAGAUGGCAGCGUAAAGGACAUGCUAUGGUGACAACGGGUACAGAGUAAAAAGGGUUCGA
rnacentral:rRNA from 1 species